CGAACGCUGGCGGCGUGCCUAACACAUGCAAGUCGAACGGGACCAGGGGCAACUCUGGUUCAGUGGCGGACGGGUGCGUAACACGUGAGGAACAUGACCUUCGGCGGGGGACAGCCGGCCCAACGGCCGGGUAAUACCGCGUACGACCACUCGGGGACAUCCCUAGGUGGUGAAAGCAGCAAUGCGCCGAUGGAGUGCCUCGCGGCCUAUCAGCUAGUUGGUGAGGUAACGGCUCACCAAGGCGACGACGGGUAGCUGGUCUGAGAGGAUGGCCAGCCACAUUGGGACUGAGACACGGCCCAGACUCCUACGGGAGGCAGCAGUGGGGAAUAUUGCGCAAUGGACGAAAGUCUGACGCAGCGACGCCGCGUGUGGGAUGACGGUCUUCGGAUUGUAAACCACUGUCGGGAGGGACGAAUACGCCGCAAGGCGGGUGACGGUACCUCCAAAGGAAGCACCGGCUAACUCCGUGCCAGCAGCCGCGGUAAUACGGAGGGUGCGAGCGUUGUCCGGAAUCACUGGGCGUAAAGGGCGCGUAGGCGGCCUGAUAAGUAGGGGGUGAAAUCCUGCGGCUUAACCGCAGGGCUGCCUUCUAAACUGUCAGGCUCGAGCACAGUAGAGGCAGGUGGAAUUCCCGGUGUAGCGGUGGAAUGCGUAGAGAUCGGGAAGAACAUCAGUGGCGAAGGCGGCCUGCUGGGCUGUUGCUGACGCUGAGGCGCGACAG
rnacentral:rRNA from 1 species